rnacentral:rRNA from 1 species
AUGAAAAGUCUCUUGAAAGGGAGAUUUUUACCCGCUGAUUAUGAUCAGAUCCUAUUUAUCCAAUUUCAAAAUUGUGCUCAAGGAAAUAGGACUGUUUCAGAUUACACGAAGGAGUUUCUAAGGCUACAAGUGAGGUGCAACCUUGCUGAAACUGAAGAGCAACAAGUUGCAAGGUACAUCAAUGGUCUCAAUGAUGCUAUUCAAGACCGAUUGAUAAUGCAACAAAUCUGGUCCGUUGAUCAAGCACAAGCUCUAGCCUUAAAGGCCGAGAGGUUUGUGAGGAUGAGAAAGACAACUAAGGCUCCAUAUCCUCCAUAUCCUCAUACCGAAGGCUCAUCUAGGAGCCAACCUAAUAGAGUGGAAGAAAAGACCACUCCACCAAAGACAAAACAACCCAUCCCGAAGCAAACUAGAGGCAAGGGUAAGGCAAAUAAAGGCCCAAAGUGCUAUAAAUGUGGUAAAGAGGGACACAUAUCCAGCGGUUGCCCACUAAGGAAAUUUGUUAACACGACUAUCCAUGAUGGUGAAAGCGAUGAGGAAGAAUACGAAUCUGAAGAUGUAGACGGACAAGAGGUUUGUCAAGAAGAAGGUGAAGAGGUGGCAUGUGUGAUCCAACAUGUCUUAUGUUCCACACCACAACUCGAUGACACACAACGGAAGAAAAUAUUUGAGAGCAAAUGCACGGUGAAUGGCGAGGUAUGCAAACUAGUGAUUGAUAGUUGCAGCUGCGAGAAUCUGAUCUCCCAGAAGUUGGUGGACCAUUUAAAGCUUGAAACCCAUGAUCAUCCAAAUCCCUACACUAUUGGAUGGAUCAAGAAAGAAGUGAAUACCAAACAAUGCAACCUGCCACUUUCUUUGGGUAAGCAUUAUCGCUCAAAUAUGUUGUGUGAUGUGGUUGACAUGGAUGCCAACCAUGUUCUUCUUGGGAGGCCUUGGCAAUUUGAUGUGGAUACUACACACAAGGGCGAGGAAAAUUCUUCCUCUUUCAUUUGGAACAAGAGAAAGAUCAUUAUCUUACCAAACAAAACCAAAGGUAAUACCUCUAAGGAUGAGGGGAAAACUAUGUUAACUAUCUCCCAUACCUCUCAUGAGUUUAUGGAAGACUUGAAGGAGGCAGAUUUGUGUGCUGCACUUGUUGUAAAGGGAGAAGAGCAUCUGACUGUUGAAAUUCCAGCAAAGCUGCGUGGUUCAUUGGCAGAAUUUCAGAACAUACUUGGGGAGCCACAUGGCUUGCCACUGAUGAGAGGAAUUCAACAUAGAAUUGACUUAAUUCCGGGAGCAAGUCUUCCUAAUCUUCCACACUAUUGA